rnacentral:rRNA from 1 species
UGGGGAAUUUUGGACAAUGGGCGAAAGCCUGAUCCAGCAAUGCCGCGUGUGUGAGGAAGGCCUUCGGGUUGUAAAGCACUUUUGUCCGGAAAGAAAUCCUUGGCUCUAAUACAGUCGGGGGAUGACGGUACCGGAAGAAUAAGCACCGGCUAACUACGUGCCAGCAGCCGCGGUAAUACGUAGGGUGCAAGCGUUAAUCGGAAUUACUGGGCGUAAAGCGUGCGCAGGCGGUUUGCUAAGACCGAUGUGAAAUCCCCGGGCUCAACCUGGGAACUGCAUUGGUGACUGGCAGGCUAGAGUAUGGCAGAGGGGGGUAGAAUUCCACGUGUAGCAGUGAAAUGCGUAGAGAUGUGGAGGAAUACCGAUGGCGAAGGCAGCCCCCUGGGCCAAAUACUGACGCUCAUGCACGAAAGCGUGGGGAGCAAACAGGAUUAGAUACCCUGGUAGUCCACGCCCUAAACGAUGUCAACUAGUUGUUGGGGAUUCAUUUCCUUAGUAACGUAGCUAACGCGUGAAGUUGACCGCCUGGGGAGUACGGUCGCAAGAUUAAAACUUAAAUGAAUUGACGGGGUCAUAGCUGUUUCCU